GAGAUUGCACACAGUGGGCACUGGUUGAUUUUUGGAGUGUUUUCUGUAUAUGUUUCUUGGAAUUUUCAUACUUUUAUUUCCGUUUGCAUGAAUGCACUAAUGUCCGCCAUUUUCCCAUGUGCUCUAACUGCGUGAAAUGUUUUCUUGAGUAGACGGAACUGCAUCCCGGCUGAAAAGACUCACUAUUCUCUCCUUUUUACUGCUCUGUGUGCAGAGUUAGAGAGAACUGCUGUGGACGGAACUGCAUCCUGGCUUAAAAGACUCACUAUUCUCUCCUUUUUACUGCUCUGUGUGCAGAAAAUAAACGAUAAUAUCAUCCA